rnacentral:rRNA from 1 species
AGGACGAACGCUGGCGGCGCGCCUAACACAUGCAAGUCGAGCGAUAACCAGGGCUUGCCCUGGGGACAGCGGCGAACGGGUGCGUAACACGUGAGCAACCUGCCCCAAAGACCGGGACAACCCGAGGAAACUCGGACUAAUACCGGAUGCCCUCACCGGGUCGCAUGGUCUGGUGAGGAAAUGGAUUCCGCUUUGGGAUGGGCUCGCGGUCUAUCAGCUUGUUGGUGGGGUAACGGCCUACCAAGGCGACGACGGAUAGCUGGUCUGAGAGGACGAUCAGCCACACUGGGACUGAGACACGGCCCAGACUCCUACGGGAGGCAGCAGUGGGGAAUCUUGCGCAAUGGGGGAAACCCUGACGCAGCGACGCCGCGUGCGGGAUGAAGGCCUUCGGGUUGUAAACCGCUUUCAGCAGGGACGAAAUUGACGGUACCUGCAGAAGAAGGCCCGGCAACUACGUGCCAGCAGCCGCGGU